UUCGUGUGAACAGUGGUUGAUCACGAGUUAGUCGGUCCUAAGUUCAAGGCGAAAGCCGAAAAUUUUCAAGUAAAGAAAAAUCAUAAAUAUAUUUGUUAUCUGAUGGAUUUUUAAACACUUGAAUAAUUUUGAACGAAAGGGAAUACGGUUCCAAUUCCGUAACCUGUUGAGUAUCCGUUUGUUAUUAAAUAUGGGCCUCGUGCUCAUCCUGGCAACAGGAACGACCAUAAAGAAGCCGUCGAGAGGUAUCGGAAGAGUUUUCUUUUCUGUUUUAUAGCCGUACUACCAUGGAAGUCUUUCGCAGAGAGAUAUGGUAGAUGGGCUAGAAGAGCAUGACAUAUACUGUUGUGUCGAUAUUUUCUCCUCGGACCUUGAAAAUUUAUGGUGGGGAUACGCAAACUUCUCAACAGGCCGUACCAAUAUCCGCAGCUGGUCUCCAAGGUGAAGAGUCUCUAGUCGAUAGAAUA
rnacentral:rRNA from 1 species